rnacentral:rRNA from 1 species
UGAGUAACCUGCCCUUAACUCUGGGAUAAGCCUGGGAAACUGGGUCUAAUACCGGAUAUGACUCCUCAUCGCAUGGUGGGGGGUGGAAAGCUUUAUUGUGGUUUUGGAUGGACUCGCGGCCUAUCAGCUUGUUGGUGAAGUAAUGGCUUACCAAGGCGACGACGGGUAGCCGGCCUGAGAGGGUGACCGGCCACACUGGGACUGAGACACGGCCCAGACUCCUACGGGAGGCAG